rnacentral:rRNA from 1 species
GACAGAGGGUGCGAACGUUGUUCGGAAUUACUGGGCGUAAAGCGCAUGUAGGCGGCAGCGCAAGUCGGGCGUGAAAUCCCACGGCUCAACCGUGGAAGUGCACUCGAAACUGCGCAGCUAGAGUCCUGGAGAGGAAGGUGGAAUGCUUGGUGUAGAGGUGAAAUUCGUAGAUAUCAAGCGGAACACCGGUGGCGAAGGCGGCCUUCUGGACAGUGACGUGACGCUGAGACGCGAAAG